CAACGGUUACCGGAUCCUUGAAGCCCUCUACCCCUACAACUGGGAGGCUUUGGACAAGGCCUACCACAGUGGAUACAGUGAUGGCCUUCACUUUCUACAAACCAGUGACCUGGUCCCAUGUCUGCCUCUUCUGAACACUCCAUCAGAGCAUCAGUCCUUUCCUCCUGACGGAUGGACAGAUCUGGAAACAGACUGGGAGGAGGAGAAGGAGGUGGAAGAAGAAGAGGAACAAAUAGAGAGGCAGGAAAAGAUGAAGAGAGAGGAGCAAACGAAGGAGGAGGAGGAGGAGGAAGAAGAAGAGGAACAAAUAGAGAGGCAGGAAAAGAUGAAGAGAGAGGAGCAAAUGAAGGAGG
ensembl:lncRNA